rnacentral:tRNA from 1 species
UAGCUUAGUCGGUAGAGCAUGAGACUCUUAAUCUCAGAGUUGUGGGUUUGUGCCCCAC